AGUGAACGCUGGCGGUAGGCCUAACACAUGCAAGUCGAACGGCAGCACAGUAAGAGCUUGCUCUUACGGGUGACGAGUGGCGGACGGGUGAGGAAUACAUCGGAAUCUACUUUUUCGUGGGGGAUAACGUAGGGAAACUUACGCUAAUACCGCAUACGACCUACGGGUGAAAGCAGUGGAUCUUCGGACCUUGCGCGAUUGAAUGAGCCGAUGUCGGAUUAGCUAGUUGGCGGGGUAAAGGCCCACCAAGGCGACGAUCCGUAGCUGGUCUGAGAGGAUGGUCAGCCACAUUGGAGCUUAGACACGGUCCAGACUCCUAAGAGAGGCAGCAGUGGGGAAUAUUAGACAAUGGGCGGAAGCCUGAUCCAGCCAUACCGAGUGGGUGAAGAAGGCCUUCGGGUUGUAAAGCCCUUUUGUUGGGAAAGAAAAGCAGCAGGUUAAUACCCCGCUGUUCUGACGGUACCCAAAGAAUAAGCACCGGCUAACUUCGUG
rnacentral:rRNA from 1 species